UACGUAGGGGGCAAGCGUUGUCCGGAUUUAUUGGGCGUAAAGAGCGUGUAGGCGGCCAUACAGGUCCGUUGUGAAAACUCGAGGCUCAACCUCGAGACGCCGAUGGAAACCGUAUGGCUAGAGUCCGGAAGAGGAGAGUGGAAUUCCUGGUGUAGCGGUGAAAUGCGCAGAUAUCAGGAAGAACACCCGUGGCUAAGGCGGCUCUCUGGGACGUGACUGACGCUGAGACGCGAAAGCGUGGGGAGCGAACAGG
rnacentral:rRNA from 1 species